rfam:Bifidobacterium psychraerophilum strain LMG 21775 Contig10, whole genome shotgun sequence.
GGGGCUGAUCGGUUUCGACGGUGAUCUGUUCGUCGCAGAGAAGCGUGCCGAGAACGCGGGGGUCCACUCGUUAAUGUCCUCCCGCAAACAACAAGUGCUAAAUCUAACCGCACUGAGUUCGCUCUCGCUGCCUGAGCUUCGCGCCAGGAAUAAACAGUGAGCAGUGGCUCCGUUCACUCUCUCUCGUCUUCGGGGAGAAGCUGAACGUCAUUUAGAGGACUUGCUUGAAUCGCUGCGUCACAGGGUGAUUCAGGGACUUUAACUGUGAAUAUGCCAGCCAAUAGUUGUCUGCGACACCAUUGGGGGCAGAACAAUAGCCAUACGGCCAGCAGACUACGCACGUAGAAGACUGGGAGUACGGUCACCGGACCCGGGUUCAAUUCCCGGCAGCUCCACGA